rnacentral:rRNA from 1 species
ACGUGAUCUGAGUUCAGACCGGAGUAAUCCAGGUCAGUUUCUAUCUAUAAAGGAGCUCUUUCCAGUACGAAAGGACCGAAAAAGCAUGGCCAAUACUUUAUGCAAGCCAUAGUUACUAAUUUAUGACUUAACCUCAAUAAAUAGAUAAUCCACCCUAAAGCUCAAAAAAAGAGC